UUUCAGGUUCGCAAUAGACUGGACUAAUAUCCCAAGGAUCAACGGUUCUUGACGACAGGUGGUGAAUGUACAGGUUUUCUGUCCGUCCGUAUUAGUUUGUUCGGAUCUACCGCGGGAUUGUUCUUAAAUAGGCCUGGCUCAAUUUUAACCAGCGGACUGGCUUCGAGCAAUUAACGUAAGAAAUUAUCUAAAAGGACUGGUUCGGUUCGCCCUGUCGUUCGGGUAAACCUUAAUACCUGGACACUACAAGACUGUUGGUCCGGAUCUGCUAAAGUAGUCCCACGCUGGAUGGAGCUGGCGAUGGCGUGGCUCAGAGUUGGCUGAUUUAGUUUUAUGUUUCUGGCUUUAUUUAGUUUUAAGAUUAAUUUAAUUUUGUUUUAAGUUUUAUUUCGUUUAGUUUUACUUUUAUUUGAAGUUUUAGUUUAUAACUUAUAUGAAUAAAAAAA